rnacentral:rRNA from 1 species
GUCUAUGGCCCUACCACCCUGAAUGUGCCCAAUCUCAUCUCAUCUCAGAAGCUAAGCAGGGUUAGGCCUGGUUAGUACUUGAAUGGGAUAAAUUAUUAUGUAUCCUGCAAUCUUAAACU